rnacentral:lncRNA from 1 species
AAAACAUGUUUUUCGCAUCAAGUAUAGACAAAGAAAACAAUAUUAUGGAAUUGGGGAGGGGGAGGGUUAGCAUUUUCCCUAAGGGUGGAAGGGCCUUCUUAAAUACUGACGAAAGGCCCAUUUAAUUGCUUAAGAAAGUAGAUUAUGUCUUUGAUUUCUUUUGAGGAACGCAAGUACGAAAUCAGUAGUGAACAUGUGGUUUGUGUUGAGUUCAUGUCCACGCAAUUCGUUCCAGGUCUUGUAUCUCCAACUGUCCUGUUCCUAUCAACGCCAGACUGUGAAGGAAAAAAAGAGUCAUGACGCUCCAUCUUUCAGAAGCAGAAUGCACUGUUUUAAUAUUAAAACCACUUGUACAUCAAGAAGGAGAUGUGGUCUGAUGAAUCAAGGAAGGCUUCAAGGUUUGGAUGGAAAAGACAAAUGGAGAGAGUGUUCCAGAUUGCUGGAUUUAGAUAAGCAAAGACAAGAAGAAAAGAACGAAGACUUGCAUAACUAUGAGAAGACGCGCCUAAAGGAAAACAGGAGAAGAAAUGGCAAGUGGGUUGUUUAGAACCAUUUUUAGAACGGCUGUGCCUCCAGUCAUAUUAAUGCAUGAAUCCUUAAAGGUUAUUAAUAUUUGGCAUUUAUAAUUAGUGUUUGUAAUAGUUUCACUUAAGAAGGAUGGAUUGAAUGAGCACUUACCAUUUGUUGAAUAAAAAGAUUGAUAUAACAGAUGAGUUUACCUUU